rnacentral:lncRNA from 9 species
CUACACUUAUGUGGCUAUGGACGAAUAUGUGCUAUCAGACUUUUCUGUCACCCCUUAGGUUAAGCUUUCAGAAGAUUUGAGGAUAAUAAAACUAAAUGGGGAGGUACCACUUUUCACAAAAACUUCAACUGAAAUAACAGUUUUGCUGCAAAUAAAGAGAGAACAACAGAGAACCUGAGAGCAACCUGGACAUGAGGACCUGCUCCCUGAACAAAAGGAUCAUUCCUCAGAGUUAGAGAAAUUGUAUAUCAUGCAUCAGAAUGACCACUCAAAUAUUUACAGAGCAAAAACAGAUAAAGGAAGAGAUGAUGUCAGACCUCAAGAUAACCUACUUAGGACCCAGAGAAAUUACAUGACUUGUUUGAAGCUCCAUGGUUUAACUGGCAAAUAACAACAACACAACAAUAAACAAUGAGCAAGAGUCACCAUCCAUUGGAUGCUUACCACGUGUCCAGGGCUGUGUUAAAUGCUAUGAAUGAAUGAUCUCUUUAAAUCCUCACAACAAAUCUAUGAGGUAGGUUCCAGUAUAAUCCCUGUCUCAUAGCCUAUUUGGAUAUUUUUUUCACUGACCUGUAAGAUGCCUUGUUAAUGCUGAGGAAUGAUUAUGUGCUUAGUGUUGACAUUAAUCUUUCACAAAGGUGAAAUGACAGACUGCUAAGAACACGAGUGCUUGUUUUUGCUGUUUUAAAUGUCAGUUAGGUGAUAGCCAUAUUAUUUUUUAGAUACAGUGAUUUUCUUCACUUUAUCCUGAUGUUAUUUUGUUACUAUCC